rnacentral:rRNA from 1 species
GACCCAGACUCCUACGGGAGGCAGCAGUGGGGAAUAUUGGGCAAUGGGCGCAAGCCUGACCCAGCAACGCCGCGUGAAGGAAGAAGGCUUUCGGGUUGUAAACUUCUUUUGACAGGGAAGAGCAGAAGACGGUACCUGUCGAAUAAGCCACGGCUAACUACGUGCCAGCAGCCGCGGUAAUACGUAGGUGGCAAGCGUUGUCCGGAUUUACUGGGCGUAAAGGGCGUGUAGCCGGGCUUACAAGUCAGAUGUGAAAUCCGGGGGCUCAACCCCCGAACUGCAUUUGAAACUGUAGGUCUUGAGUAUCGGAGAGGCAGGCGGAAUUCCUAGUGUAGCGGUGAAAUGCGUAGAUAUUGGGAAGAACACCGGCGGCGAAGGCGGCCUUCUGGGCCACGACUGACGCUGAGGCGCGAAAGCUAGGGGAGCGAACAGGAUUAGAUACCCUAGUA